CCUACGAGUGGCAGCAGUGAGGAAUAUUGGUCAAUGGGCGAGAGCCUGAACCAGCCAAGUAGCGUGAAGGAUGACUGCCCUAUGGGUUGUAAACUUCUUUUAUAUGGGAAUAAAGUGCAGUAUGUAUACUGCUUUGCAUGUACCUUAUGCAUAAGGAUCGGCUAACGCCGUUCCAGCAGCCGCGGUAAUACGGAGGAUCCGAGCGUUAUCCGGAUUUAUUGGGUUUACAGGGAGGGUAGGCGGUGUGUUAAUUCAGUUGUGAAAGUUUGCGGCUCAACCGUAAAAUUGCAGUUGAUACUGGCAUCCUGGAGUACAGUAGAGGUAGGCGGAAGUCGUGGUGUAGCGGUGAAAUGCUUAGAUAUCACGAAGAACUCCGAUUGCGAAGGCAGCCUGCUGGACUGUAACUGACGCUGAUGCUCGACAGUGUGGGUAUCAAACAGGAUUAGAUACCCGGGUAGUG
rnacentral:rRNA from 1 species